rnacentral:rRNA from 1 species
UACGACCGCAAGGUUGAAACUCAAAGGAAUUGACGGGGGCCCGCACAAGCGGUGGAGCAUGUGGUUUAAUUCGAAGCUACGCGAAGAACCUUACCAGGUCUUGACAUCUUGCGCCAACCCUAGAGAUAGGGCGUUUCCUUCGGGAACGCAAUGACAGGUGGUGCAUGGUCGUCGUCAGCUCGUGUCGUGAGAUGUUGGGUUAAGUCCCGCAACGAGCGCAACCCUUGUUACUAGUUGCCAGCAUUAAGUUGGGCACUCUAGUGAGACUGCCGGUGACAAACCGGAGGAAGGUGGGGACGACGUCAGAUCAUCAUGCCCCUUAUGACCUGGGCUACACACGUGCUACAAUGGACGGUACAACGAGUCGCGAACUCGCGAGGGCAAGCAAAUCUCUUAAAACCGUUCUCAGUUCGGACUGCAGGCUGCAACUCGCCUGCACGAAGUCGGAAUCGCUAGUAAUCGCGGAUCAGCAUGCCGCGGUGAAUACGUUCCCGGGCCUUGUACACACCGCCCGUCACACCAUGAGAGUUUGUAACACCCAAAGUCGGUGGGGUAACCUUUUAGGAGCCAGCCGCCUAAGGUGGGACAGAUGAUUAGGGUGAAGUCGUAACAAGGUAGCCGUAGGAGAACCUGCGGCUG